rnacentral:lncRNA from 1 species
AUGCAUCAGCUGCUCCUUCCCACCUCCAGCACUUGGUGUGCUGUGCUCUCAUCCCUGCAUUCCAGCACAUGUGUCCUUGGAAGCUGUGAGCUGCCAGGACCUGUGUGGGUCCUGGAGGGUAUCCUGCAGGCUCUGGUCACUCCUGCCCCGUGCUCUUCAGACGUGCUGAGUCUCCACCUCAUUUCCUAUGCAUUGAACUUCCCAGACCUGCAGGACUCUCCGACAGCAAGGCGAGAAAGCCAUGCAGGGAGUCAGCAUGAGAGGGUCAUGCUGCGUCUGCACCCAUGGGCGAGGAUGCAAAGGGACCCUGCAGCAAUGCAUCGCCCUCACUGCAUUUGCAGAACUGCAGCAUUGCAACUUGGCAGCAGCACCCCACCUCCCACCCAUCCUCUUCCACACUUGCAUGAGGAGAAAGGCAAUGAAAAGCCACAGUUCGGUCGAAAUAUUUAUGGACUGGGAGAUGCUCUUUGAAGAAGUAUCGGCCCUAAGGGUCCUUCCUGCUGGCAGUGCUCAGUGGCCUUGGAUUAUUCGGAGGGCUGCUGUGUGGGACAGCAAUCCGAGGAUGCAAAACUGCUAAUAGUCAACAUCCUUUGGUUUGGGUUUGGUUUCUGACCCUGAGGAUGCCUGGAGCAAUCGGCUCACCUCUCUGCUCCUUUGUUCUCCCUCCCCCAAAAAAUAGAUGCACGGUGCAAGAUGCUGGGGCAGCAGCAUGUCCACAUUGCACAGCUGGCGGGGGACUCGCAAGCUUAUUUUGUUGCUUUUCUUCAAUGGGAAAAGCACCAAGGAAAUGCACUUUAAAUAGGUAAACAAAAAGAGGAACUCUCCCAAAUCAUAAUUCCCUUUCAUGUGGCUCUGCCUUAAGGCUUCUGGCUGGUGAAAUUAAAGAAAUACAAUUAAACUGGAGCUGGCUCCCCUGUGCCUCUGUGCAAACGAAGGGAAAAAAUCCUACAGGCACACGUGGCCAGACUACCAGAAAAAGCACCCACAACUUCGCUGCUUUAAUUUAAGCUUCUAUUCACAUCGUUGUCAGCAUCCAGGAACCGGUCCCAUCUGCUGCUACUCGAGAGCUGCGCGUGAAGCGCGCUGGCAGAGCUCACCUCCAUCCAUCCCUCAUGGGCAGGUGCCAGCAAGCUAAAAAUACAGCCAGAAGUGACCCUCUUCUUGGCAGCCUCCAGGAAGCCUGAAGGCUGCAGCAAGCCAGGCUCUGGCGUGGAGCAAUUCUGAAUUUUUCAAUGGGGAAGUGCUUUUUGAUCGCAGCCACACGGCCUGUGGGAUCUUCCUGGUUGGGGCAAGUCUGGCUCGUAACAGAAGUGUCCAGCUGGCCAUGGGAACUGAGAGCCCUUUCAGUGCGUUCUGCAUUGGUGCAAUUCAUGCAGAACUUGUUCUGCUGGAGCAUCUCAGCUGUGCAUCCCAUGCACCUCAGCAGCUGCUGGUCCCCGUGGUCUCGAGCAAACUGCACCCAGGAAAGGCAGCAGCAAGCAGAGAGCUUGGAACCCAUCUCCCUGCCUUCUGGAGGGGGCUUUAUCUCAUUAAAACAAACGAGCAGAUGACUGCUGCCUGUGUCAACAGGGGGACUGCACUUCGUGAUUACACUUUAUAAACCCCAAGCUGUUUACUGCCUUAGCAGAUAAGUUGAGCUUUUAAGAGGAGGAGAUACAGUCUGGGGUUUGCACAUUUAAUAGACUCCUUGCGUGUGCAUGCGGCUGUGUGAUAACACCCCCAGCCCAACUGCACGUGAGGCUGCAGCAUCGCAGGGCUUCGCUUCCAGGGCUCCUCUCCUCGCCACCAGAUGUAAUGGAUGCGCGCAACGUAAAGCACAUCUUAAUCAAUGUGAGAGAUUCUGCUUAAAACCCAAUGAUUUUGAUCUGGAGCCUGACAGCGCGGUAAUUUAUAUGCAGCGCAGCAUAACCAAAGAGCUUGUUAUGCAAACACAGACCACUGAUUUGACAAAUCUCCUGGAAACAGAAUUAAUGUCUGUAUUCUGCGAAAAGAUGUAAUUUAUUUUAAUAUUUUAAAGAGGGGAAAAUUAUAUAUGCAUAUGUAUAAAUAGAGCUCAACAGAAAUAAACGCAUAUGCGCAUAUAUGUAUUUACA